GGCCCUGUUGGGAUAUUUAUUGGAGGUCGGUCUCCUAAACCGAAGAUUCAAGGUUCGACUCCUUGCAGGGUCG
rnacentral:tRNA from 1 species